CCUACGGGAGGCAGCAGUGGGGAAUAUUGCACAAUGGGCGAAAGCCUGAUGCAGCGAUGCCGCGUGCGGGAAGAAGGCCUUAGGGUUGUAAACCGCUUUCAGUAGGGAAGAAAAUGACGGUACCUACAGAAGAAGGUGCGGCCAACUACGUGCCAGCAGCCGCGGUGACACGUAGGCACCAAGCGUUGUCCGGAUUUAUUGGGCGUAAAGAGCUCGUAGGCGGUUUGGUAAGUCGGGUGUGAAAACUCUGGGCUCAACCCAGAGAGGCCACUCGAUACUGCUAUGACUUGAGUACGGUAGGGGAGUGGGGAAUUUCUAGUGUAGCGGUGAAAUGCGCAGAUAUUAGAAGGAACACCAGUGGCGAAGGCGCCACUCUGGGCCGUAACUGACGCUGAGGAGCGAAAGCAUGGGUAGCAAACAGGAUUAGAUACCCUGGUAGUCCAUGCCGUAAACGUUGGGCACUAGGUGUGGGUCUCAACCAACGAGAUCCGCGCCGUCGCUAACGCAUUAAGUGUCCCGCCUGGGGAGUACGGUCGCAAGACUAAAACUCAAAGUAUAGUGGACGUGAGACUGCGAACGAGACACGAGGAGGUAGG
rnacentral:rRNA from 1 species